GGAUGAGGGUGUGAAGCAAACAGCUCAGCUUAUUUACCAGACGGCUCUAAUGGAGAGUGGUUUCAAUCUACCCGAUCCCAAGGAUUUUGCUUCACGCAUCUACAGCUCAGUGAAAUCUAGCCUAAAUAUCAGUCCCGAUGCAACAAUUGAGGAUGAUGAUGAUGUAGAAGAAACCGAGACAGAGUCGGAGACAAAAGACAGUGCAGUCAAAGAUGAGUUGUAGAUUUCCUGAAACCUCGAGGAUAUAUACUCUUUGAGUUUGUUUUACCCUCUGAAGACAUUCCCGAUUGAACUGUAACAUGCAUUUUCAAGUCUGAAACUAGGAUAAAAAGAAAUUUUACGUAGUUCUUUCAUUUCGAGUGUUGAGAAGUCUCAUCGAUUUUGUCUGUGGAAUGUGUUUUUGUUGACAGUAUAUACUGGUUUGCAUGAUUAGCUUGUUUGGAAGGUAUAUUAUGGUGGCUUCUUUUUAAUUUUGAUGACGAUAGUCUGUUUUAGAAGUAAAAGAACCUGCGGUUCUACAUGUAAGAGCACUGUUCUAGGGAUGCCUAGUGCAUGAGGAGUUUCAUUAAUGAUCUUUGGUUUACAUUUGGAGAUCCGCUUUGAUUUCUAGUACAUCAUACAAGGCAGUCUUUUCAGUCCCAAGAACUUCUAACACUUUCCCUGGCUAAUGGGGGUUUUAGUGAUACUAGACUUCGAUAGUCUGUAGUUGUCUGACAUAAUGUCCUUUCUCACCCAACUUCUCACGACCUCCUUGAACACUACGAUCAUGGUAGCGCAAGUUCUGUCUAUAUCAUGCCUAUUGGUACCUAUGUAUCAUGCACUAAAACUCAAAUAGCAAAAGUUUGUCCUCAUUCCAGUGAUAGAGGAAGAAAAAACUUGAUUGUAUUGUGCUUUGUUAUCUUUUGAGAGCUUUUAUUACCUCUCUUGCAUCACUCAUCCAAAUGCAUGAAUGGUCAUGGCGGUCAAUAUUUGGAUAAUUGCAUGCUUUCUUUUGUUUUUCUGUCCACAUUUAAAAUCUGUGUUGAAAAUACAGAAUCAAGUAAUUUCUCACAUCUGAUUAAUGGAUUUUCACGGAGGCCAACUGUUCUAAUUCCAUGAUGCCUUAUUCUGUAAGUGUUAUUUAAUUUGGUUCGGUUGGUCAAAAUUCACAAAUUAAAACAUUGUAAUUAUAAAAGCUAAAGCGAAUCUUAUUUUUAAUCAAGUUUUUUACCUUGUCAGUGCGAUUGUAUUUAUUGCAGGAUCAAUAAAUUCAAUUCAGACAAAUUUAAAUUAUAAAUACAUAGAUACAUACCUAUUGAUAGUUUUUAGGAUGUAAUAAUUUUUUAUUUAAGUGAAAUAUCAUAGAAACAAAUAUUUCCGAUAAUAGCUCAGGACAUCCUAUGCUAAAGUCAAAUUAUAUUUUACUAUUUUAUCUUAAAAAAUUAAAUUAGUUACUAUAUAUUAGAUUUAAGAAUUAUCUAUUUUUACUACUAAAAAUUGGUCUCUAUACCUCACUACGAGUUAUAUGUAACAUGUCAUAUGACAUUGUAUGGAUAUUCUCCCAUCCAUCUUAGUUUUUAAUAUUACAAUUGGAUGAAUUUUUAAUAGAAAUAGGGAUAGCUAAAAGGUUGGCAAUGGCCUCGACCCCUAACAUAAAUAAAAUCAUUUAAAUCUUUUAAAAAAUUAAAUUAAUAAAAAUAAAAUUACACUAUGGCCCUCCUAUAAAUGAUAAAAUUUUGAUUUAAUUCUUUAAAAAUUAAAAAGAUAUAAUAUUAAAAUUGUAAAAUUAUAUUUUUACUAUCAUAAAAAUUACAAUUUACUUUCGACCUCUAAAAAGUUUUUUCACUUCACCAGUAAAUCAAUUUACUUUUUAACCCAUUAUAUAAAAACUAAUUUAGCUAUUUUCUUUAAUAAAAAGGAUACAUUUAUUUAAUGUAUAAAUUGAUUUACAGAAGAGAAGAGAUAGAUCUACAUGGAAAAGAGAAGGAAAAUACACAGAACUGUAAGGCAAGGAUAGUAAUAAAGAACAAUCUAGAAACCGGGAUUCAUACACCUCCAAGCAUAUUAAGCAACGUUUACAGCAAAGCCGAGUCGUUCGAUCAUUUGAUGAUCAUCAGGUCAAGUUGACUAAAGAGUUGAAGUCGUCUGAUAUGGGGCCUGCCUGCCCAUAACACACGGCCACGUCAAAGAAACAAAUCUAAACCAAUAAAAUCAUGCCACGUGUCAACAAACUAAAUCAUGAGCCGUUAGAUCCUCCACGCUGGCGCCAACAACUCUUUUCCAUCGCAAAAAACAUCGCUAAAACCCCCGCUUAUAUAAGAACUCUCAAUCCUGCACUGAAGGCAAAGCUACUAGAUUUCAAAAAAAAAAAAAAAAAAAAAACAAACAAAGGUGGCCUGAGCAAACUAUGAGGAAGUGGGCGAUCCCUUCCGCUUUGGUUCUUCUUUGCCUUCUCAGUCUCCUCUCAGAUCAUGGUAAGCUUACGCUGCUUAUCCUUUUUCUUUUUAUUUUUCUGGCUUGUGAAAUGCUGAAUCCGGAUCUACACUUGUUUCAGGGAGAAAAGUACAAGCAAAUGCCGAGGAAGGAGCUGUAGAUCCUCCUAAAGUCGAGGAAAAGAUCGGCGCUGUGCCUCAUGGCUUACAAACUGAUUCUGAUGUAGUUAAAAGGUAGCAUAAUUUUUGUUUUGGAAUAUACUUUUCAUUACUUUGUUCUUUUUGUUUACUUGAAUUUUGAAUCCGAAUGUUCUUACUAGGGAAUCGGAAUCCAUCUCUUCGAGAUCGCUUCGCAAUAAUGCGGAGAAGUUUGAGUUCCAAGCUGAAGUGUCUCGGCUUAUGGAUAUCAUUAUCAAUUCUCUUUAUAGCAACAAGGAUAUUUUCCUGAGGGAGUUGAUCUCCAAUGCUUCUGAUGUAAGUUUUAUGUUUUUCCUUCUUUGAAUUGUUUUCAGUAAUUGUUUCGAACUCGAUGUUGAAUCAUUGUUUUUGUUUUAAUUUAAGGCACUGGACAAGAUUAGGUUCCUUUCACUCACAGACAAAGAAGUUUUGGGUGAAGGCGACACUUCCAAGCUGGAUAUCCAGGUCAGUUCUUCAAACUAAAACUUUAUCUUAUUGAAAUUUAAUUACAGAGAACUCCGGUUACCGUUUAAUUAGAAUGAUCCUGGUGUAUAAUGUCGUUGCUGAGCCUUAAAAAUGCAAUGAAAUUGCAGAUUAAGUUGGACAAAGAGAAGAAGAUUCUUUCCCUUCGCGACAGAGGUAUAGGAAUGACAAAAGAAGAUCUAAUCAAGAACUUGGGAACAAUUGCGAAAUCUGGAACUUCUGGUAACUAAAUCUUUAUAUUUGAUAUUGCAGAAGUAGAGUUAUAUUUGAUUAAGUAUAGAUUACAUAAACUGAAGUUAUUGUUAUUAUCUUUUUUGUGCAGCAUUCGUUGAGAAAAUGCAAUCCAGUGGAGACCUUAAUCUGAUUGGGCAGUUUGGAGUUGGGUUCUACUCCGUAUAUCUUGUAGCUGACUAUGUCGAAGUCAUUAGUAAACACAAUGAUGACAAACAGUGAGUCUUCUAGCUUCAAUGUAGUUCUUAUGGUAAUGUUUGACCGAUUGUUGAAUAAUUAUUUGAUUAAUAUGUUUUUCUCUUCAGGUAUGUAUGGGAAUCAAAGGCGGAUGGGGCAUUUGCAAUUUCCGAGGAUACUUGGAAUGAACCACUUGGACGUGGGACUGAGAUUAGAUUGCAUCUUAGGGAUGAAGCUCAGGAGUAUUUGGAGGAAAGCAAAUUGAAGGUUAGCAACUUGAACUUUUCUUGUUUACAUAGCCUAUUCUUUGCGUAUGCUGAUUUUCAUUUGUGAAAUAUUUUCUAUUAUGUUACCAUCCUUUGAAUUGUUAUUUCCAUGAACUUGUAAUUUGAUGUAUUUACUUAAACUUGGCCUUUUGAAGAUAUGCUAACAAAGCAUGCUGUGUUUCUCAUCUGCAGGAGUUGGUGAAGAAAUAUUCUGAGUUCAUCAACUUCCCCAUCUAUAUCUGGGCAAGCAAAGAGGUUGAUGUUGAGGUACCUGCAGAUGAAGAUGAGCCAAGUGAUGAGGAGGAAACCUGUAUGUAUUAGCUAGCCUGUUAGUGUUUAUUUAAAACUUGUCUUUUUCCUUAAUGCUGUAAGAGUAGGCAUGUUGUGAUUAACUGAUUAUAGUUUUUGGUUUCCUUCUCUUUUAUUUCCACAAACAGCCGAUAGCAGCUCUUCCGAGGAAGGAGAAGAUGAAGAUGCCGAGAAAAGUGAGGAUGAUGAUGCUGAAAAGAAAUCAAAGACAAAGAAGGUGAAGGAAACUACUUAUAAAUGGGAACUUCUGAAUGAUGUUAAAGCCAUAUGGUUGCGCAGUCCAAAGGAGGUGACAGAUGAAGAAUACACGAAAUUCUAUCACUCUCUAGCAAAGGUAAUUUUCCAUAUAUUUUCUAGCUCCAUAGUACCGAAAGCAUUAUAGAGAAGUUUCUAUCAUUUAUCGAUGCAUAUUUCUGCUUCUCUGCAGGACUUUAGUGAUGAGAAGCCCUUGGCCUGGAGCCACUUCACUGCUGAAGGUGAUGUCGAGUUCAAGGCCGUUUUGUUUGUGCCUCCUAAGGCUCCUCAGGAUCUAUAUGAGAGUUACUAUAACACCAAUAAAGCCAACUUGAAGUUGUAUGUUCGACGAGUUUUUAUCUCUGAAGAAUUUGAUGAGCUUUUGCCGAAGUAUCUUAGCUUCUUGAAGGUAAUAGAAGACAUUCCAAGUUAUUUUAGUUGACUUGAAUCUUCACUAAUGAGUUUUCUGAGUUGUUUCUUAUUGUUUACCUGUUGAGCAGGGUCUUGUUGAUUCUGAUACUCUGCCUCUCAAUGUGUCAAGAGAGAUGCUGCAAGCCCACAGCAGUUUGAAAACAAUCAAGAAAAAACUCAUCAGGAAAGCCCUUGAUAUGAUUCGUAAAAUUGCCGAGGAGGAUCCUGAUGAGUCGAGUGGAAAAGAUGAGAAAGGUAUUGUAUAUUGAUUCCUUAUAGAAUUAAAUUUAAUUUGCUAAUACUUCACCGCCUAGACUUUGCCUACCACUAGCCUUUGACAAUGAAACUAUUCUAUUCCUAGUUAUUUCUGGGUGAAUAUUGAUACUGAAUAUGAUGGGUAUGCAGAAGUGGAAACAUCUGGUGAUGAUGACGAGAAAAAGGGACAAUACACCAAGUUCUGGAAUGAAUUUGGAAAAUCCAUUAAACUCGGUAUCAUUGAGGAUGCAACCAAUAGAAAUCGCUUGGCAAAACUCCUUCGAUUUGAGAGGUAUUUAACUUUGUAUAUGGUAUUUAGGCAUGAGCAUUGUAUGGGUAAAAUCAAGAACCCGAACUGAACUGAUUAAUUUGAUUGGUUUAAAAGCGUCAAAUUUCAGUUGUGUGUAAGACCAAACAGCAUUAUUUGGAUUGGUUUGGAUCCUGAAACUUAAAAACAAGUAUUUGGCCUUGAUUUGUUUUUCCUUUUAAUCGAGUCCAAACAGAAGCAUUCUUUGCACAUGAUAAUCACUUUUCUGCUAGUAACUAAUGAGUAAUAGUGUAUGAAUUGCCUUGCAGCACCAAGUCGGAUGGUAAAUUGACAUCACUUGAUCAGUACAUCUCAAGGAUGAAAUCCGGACAGAAAGAUAUAUUCUACAUUACAGGAACCAGCAAGGAACAAUUAGAAAAAUCUCCAUUCUUGGAGAGGCUUAAGAAGAAAAAUUACGAGGUAACUGCUAAAGCAUUCCGAACCAACUUUUCUCAUCUUCCCUUUUACUUAAUUUGUAUCUCUUUUUCUAUCUGCGCUUGGGUUCUAACGACCUACGUUGUUUCCAGGUUAUUUUCUUCACUGAUCCUGUUGAUGAGUACCUGAUGCAAUACCUUAUGGAUUAUGAGGGAAAGCAGUUCCAAAAUGUAUCCAAGGAGGGCCUGAAAAUCGGGAAAGAAAAGAACAAAGAACUCAAGGAGUCAUUUAAGGAACUAACCAAAUGGUGGAAGAAUGCACUUGCUAGUGAUAAUGUUGAUGAAGUGAAGAUAAGCAACCGUUUGGACAACACUCCCUGUGUGGUCGUUACAUCAAAAUACGGAUGGAGUGCUAAUAUGGAGAGAAUCAUGCAAUCUCAAACCCUGUCUGAUUCUAGCAAGCAAGCUUACAUGCGCGGCAAGAGGAUCCUAGAGAUUAACCCAAGACACCCAAUCAUCAAGGAGCUUCGUGAGAGAGUUGCCAAGGACUCUGAGGUACCUAUCUGUAUAUGUAAACAGUAACAUGCAUGUUUGAUGAGUCGGUAUUCAGUUUUGCUUAAUUUGAUGAAAUCAUUUGGUGGAUCUUACAGGAUGAGGGUGUGAAGCAAACAGCUCAGCUUAUUUACCAGACGGCUCUAAUGGAGAGUGGUUUCAAUCUACCCGAACCCAAGGAUUUUGCUUCACGCAUCUACAGCUCAGUGAAAUCUAGCCUAAAUAUCAGUCCCGAUGCAACAAUUGAGGAUGAUGAUGAUGUAGAAGAAACCGAGACAGAGUCGGAGACAAAAGACAGUGCAGUCAAAGAUGAGUUGUAGAUUGCCUGAAACCUCGGGGACAUGCCUUUUGAGUUAGUUUUACCCUCUGAUGACAAGCCGAAGGAACUGUAACAUGCAUUUUCAAGUCUGAAACUUGGAUAAAGGGAAACAUUAGUUAGUAGAAUAUAUGUAAACCAUAGUCGACUGUGAAAUUAAUCUGUCUGCAAUUUUUGCUCUUUUA
rnacentral:lncRNA from 1 species